rnacentral:lncRNA from 1 species
ACAAUUCAUCACUGUACAACUUGUUGACUCUGAAAUUUUCAUGAUCAAUUUUCACUUCUAUUAUAUAUUAAGGUUCAAUCUCAUAUUUUUGUAGUGAUUCUUUUUUUGGAUUUUCUUGGUUGGAUUUUGAAGAAAUGGAUAAUGAUAAUGAGAAAAAAAAGAGUGAUGGUGCAGAGAAGAAGGUGGCUGUGGCUGAUAUUGAAGCAUUGAAGAAAUGUUUGGAGGAAAACAAAGGGGACAAUGCUAAAUGCAAGUCAUUGGUUGAAGCUUUCAAGUCUUCAUCAAGAAUUAGGCCAAUGAGACCAAUGAGGCUCAGAACUGGUUCUUGGACUGAUGUGUAAAAAGCUCUAAUCUUUCAGUAUAAAUAAUAUAUAUUAUAAAGUUCCAAUCUUUGAACAAAUGGUAGUCCUUUUUUUCCAAUGUUUAUAUAAAUUCUAUCUAUUGUGGCUUAGGGCGAUGAUGAUGAUGAAAAUUAUCCUUUUAGGUCUUUCAUUUCCAAGAAGUACAUAUGGUAUUGUUUCACUUGCUUUCAGCAGUGGAAAAUUGAUCCUGAAUUGUGGAUUGGUGCUUUUUUCUUUUUCUUUUUGUUCCCCUAGUUAAAUACUAACAAGGGGAGCCUUGGCGUAACUGGUAAAGUUGCUGCCAUGUGACUAGGAGGUCACGGGUUCGAGAUGUGGAAACAACCUUUUGCAGAAAUGCAAGGUAAGGCUGCAUCCGAUAGACCCUUGUGGUCCGACCCUUCCCUGAACGCUGAACCCCGUGCAUAGCAGUAGCUUAGUGCACCGGGCUGUCUUUUUUGAGUUAAAUACUAAGUGGGGAAUCAAGAAACUGUUCUUGUGAGAGUAGUUUGGUGAAUAAUAAUUCUCACUGGGCUAUAUGCUCAAGUAAUAUGUAUGUCUUUUUUUGACUUCUUAUUUAUCAAAAACAAUUCCACUUUCUGAGGCUUAAAGAAUUCUUUGAGGGGUCGUUUGGUUGGGAAACAAGUUAUUCCACGAUUAAUUAUUUCGGGAUUAGUUAUUCCACCGUCCCAAAGGGAUAAAAAACACUACAAUCCCGGGAUUAUACCAAACGAGCUAUUAUUUUUUUUUUUCCCUGAGAGUGUAUGCUGUUAUUUCUUUUUUCCCGCUAUUUCAAAUCAGAUGAUAGUCUGUUGGCAUUUCUAUUGCGAACAUAUUAUUCCCAAAAAAGUGCAGAUGGAAAGGAACUAAUGUGCCCUCAUUGGAGGAUCUAAGGAAUGAGAAUAGCAAUAAAGAAUAGAAAUCUACAGAAUUUGGCUCUUGGAUAUAAAAUAUAAAUAUACAAAAUCAUGAUAAAAACAGAUUUCCAAGUUUGAAUACUUCUCUCAAAUUACAGAAUCAAUUUGGUUAUCACGUAGUGAAAUAGAUCCUUCAUUUGUCAAGUUCUCGACUUGGUUCUAUUCUAUUCAGUAAUGAUCCUUCGUUACAGGAAGUUUAACUGUAUUUCCGGAGGAGCUGAAAUUUGAAUCCUAUUUGCAGAAAUCAAAAAGGCUUUGCUCACUGCUGUCCUU